rnacentral:rRNA from 1 species
GAUGAACGCUGGCGGCGUGCCUAAUACAUGCAAGUCGAGCGAACAGAUAAGGAGCUUGCUCCUUUGACGUUAGCGGCGGACGGGUGAGUAACACGUGGGUAACCUACCUAUAAGACUGGAAUAACUCCGGGAAACCGGGGCUAAUGCCGGAUAACAUUUAGAACCGCAUGGUUCUAAAGUGAAAGAUGGUUUUACUAUCACUUAUAGAUGGACCCGCGCCGUAUUAGCUAGUUGGUAAGGUAACGGCUUACCAUGGCAACGAUACGUAGCCGACCUGAGAGGGUGAUCGGCCACACUGGAACUGAGACACGGUCCAGACUCCUACGGGAGGCAGCAGUAGGGAAUCUUCCGCAAUGGGCGAAAGCCUGACGGAGCAACGCCGCGUGAGUGAUGAAGGUCUUCGGAUCGUAAAACUCUGUUAUUAGGGAAGAACAAAUGUGUAAGUAACUGUGCACGUCUUGACGGUACCUAAUCAGAAAGCCACGGCUAACUACGUG